rnacentral:rRNA from 1 species
GUGGUAGUGAUCCGAAGGUGACGACCCGCAAGGGAGCUUGCACAGGUGUUUGCAUGGCUGUCGUCAGCUCGUGUCGUGAGAUGUUCGGUUAAGUCCGCUAACGAGCGCAACCCUCGCUGUAUGUUACAUGUGUCAUACAGGACCGCCGGUAUCAAGCCGGAGGAAGGUGGGGAUGACGUCAAGUCCGCAUGGCCUUUAUGUCCGGGGCUACACACACGCUACAGUGGUCGGUACAAUGGGUUGCUAAGCCGCGAGGUGGAGCCAAUCCCCCAAAGCCGGCCUCAGUUCAGAUUGCAGGCUGCAACUCGCCUGCAUGAAGCUGGAGUUGCUAGUAAACGCGCGUCAGCUAUAGUGCGUUGAAUACGUUCUCGGGCCUU